AAAACUAAGCUUCAUUUGUUUAGCAGGUAGAUCAGUGGGUAAGAAGUUGGGCUACUAAUAUGUAGAUUUGGGUUUGAUUACUUGUCAAGCUACCUGUGUCCUUGGACAAGACACGUCAUCUGCAUUGUCUCAGUCCAC